CUCUUUCCGCCCGCGCCGGUCUGAGGGGACGGACGGGCCCGGGCCGAGGCCUACGCGCAUCCGCCGCCAUCCCGCGGAUCCCGCCGCUCCCGCCGCGCGCCGCCGCCGCCAUCUGCCGCCAUGACGGAGCAGAUGACCCUGCGCGGCACCCUGAAGGGCCACAACGGCUGGGUGACGCAGAUCGCCACCACGCCGCAGUUCCCCGACAUGAUCCUGUCGGCCUCGCGCGACAAAACCAUCAUCAUGUGGAAGCUGACGCGUGACGAGACCAACUACGGGAUCCCGCAGCGGGCGCUGCGCGGGCACUCGCACUUUGUCAGCGACGUGGUGAUCUCGUCCGACGGGCAGUUUGCGCUGUCGGGCUCCUGGGACGGCACCCUGCGCCUCUGGGACCUCACCACGGGCACCACCACGCGCCGCUUCGUGGGGCACACCAAGGACGUGCUGAGCGUGGCCUUCUCCUCCGACAACCGCCAGAUCGUGUCGGGCUCGCGGGACAAAACCAUCAAGCUCUGGAACACCCUGGGCGUCUGCAAGUACACCGUGCAGGACGAGAGCCACUCCGAGUGGGUUUCGUGCGUUCGCUUCUCCCCCAACAGCAGCAACCCCAUCAUCGUCUCCUGCGGCUGGGACAAACUGGUCAAGGUGUGGAACCUGGCCAACUGCAAGCUGAAGACGAACCACAUCGGGCACACGGGGUACCUGAACACGGUCACUGUGUCACCUGACGGGUCACUGUGUGCCUCUGGGGGAAAGGAUGGCCAGGCCAUGCUGUGGGACCUGAACGAGGGCAAGCACCUGUACACGCUGGACGGGGGGGACGUGAUCAACGCGCUCUGCUUCAGCCCCAACCGCUACUGGCUGUGCGCAGCCACCGGCCCCAGCAUCAAGAUCUGGGUAAAGAAACGGGGAAAUGGGGAAAUCAAUGGGAUAAUGGGAUUGGGAUAAUGGGAUAAUGGGAUUGGGAACGGGGUCAGAACGGGGAUGGGAUCAACGCGCUCUGCUUCAGCCCCAACCGCUACUGGCUGUGCGCAGCCACCGGCCCCAGCAUCAAGAUCUGGGACCUGGAGGGGAAGAUCAUCGUGGACGAGCUGAAGCAGGAGGUGAUCAGCACCAGCAGCAAAGCGGAGCCGCCCCAGUGCACCUCGCUGGCCUGGUCAGCAGAUGGGCAGACUCUCUUUGCCGGCUACACCGACAACCUGGUGCGGGUGUGGCAGGUGACCAUCGGCACCCGCUGAGCCCCGAUUCCGCCGUUUUUCAACCCAAAAAUGUCGAUGUGGGCGUGGCAGGUGACCAUCGGCACCCGCUGAGCCCCGAUCCCGCCGUUUUUCAACCCAAGAAAUUGUCAAUAAACGGCGAUUUUUGGA